CACGUAGGCGGACAAAUAAGUUUGAUGUCAAAUAUGAUGGCUCAACCAUCAAGAGGCGUUGAAAACUGUUUAUCUAGAAUCUCGGAGAGGUAAGUGGAAUUCCAUGUGUAGCGGUGGAAUGCGUAGAUAUAUGGAGGAACACCAAUGGCGAAGGCAGCUUACUGGACGAAGAUUGACGCUGAGGUGACGAAAGCGUGGGUAGCAAACAGGAUUAGAUACCCUGGUAG
rnacentral:rRNA from 1 species